rnacentral:rRNA from 1 species
AUUGAACGCUGGCGGCAGGCUUAACACAUGCAAGUCGAACGGUAACAGGAGAAAAGCUUGCUUUUCUUGCUGACGAGUGGCGGACGGGUGAGUAAUGCUUGGGAAUCUGCCUUAUGGAGGGGGAUAACUACGGGAAACUGUAGCUAAUACCGCGUAAUAUCUUCGGAUUAAAGUGUGGGACCUUCGGGCCACAUGCCAUAAGAUGAGCCCAAGUGAGAUUAGGUAGUUGGUGAGGUAAAGGCUCACCAAGCUGACGAUCUCUAGCUGGUUUGAGAGGAUGACCAGCCACACUGGAACUGAGACACGGUCCAGACUCCUACGGGAGGCAGCAGUGGGGAAUAUUGCACAAUGGGCGCAAGCCUGAUGCAGCCAUGCCGCGUGAAUGAAGAAGGCUUUCGGGUUGUAAAGUUCUUUCAGCGAUGAGGAAGGUUGCAUAUCUAAUAGGUAUGCAAAUUGACGUUAGUCGCAGAAGAAGCACCGGCUAACUCCGUGCCAGCAGCCGCGGUAAUACGGAGGGUGCGAGCGUUAAUCGGAAUAACUGGGCGUAAAGGGCACGCAGGCGGUUGUCUAAGUCAGAUGUGAAAGCCCCGAGCUUAACUUGGGAAUUGCAUUUGAGACUGGGCGACUAGAGUCCUCUAGGGAGGGGUAGAAUUCCACGUGUAGCGGUGAAAUGCGUAGAGAUGUGGAGGAAUACCGAAGGCGAAGGCAGCCCCUUGGAGAGAGACUGACGCUGAGGUGCGAAAGCGUGGGUAGCAAACAGG